UGGGGAAUUUUGGACAAUGGGGGCAACCCUGAUCCAGCAAUGCCGCGUGUGUGAAGAAGGCCUGAGGGUUGUAAAGCACUUUAGGUGGGGAGAAAGGCAAAUGAGUUAAUAACUCAUUUGAUUGAUGUUACCCACAGAAUAAGCACCGGCUAACUCUGUGCCAGCAGCCGCGGUAAUACAGAGGGUGCAAGCGUUAAUCGGAAUUAUUGGGCGUAAAGCGCAUGUAGGUGGCUAUAUAAGUUUGAUGUGAAAGCCCUGGGCUUAACCUGGGAAUUGCGUUGAAUACUGUAUAGCUUGAGUCGGACAGAGGGCGGUGGAAUUUCCGGUGUAGCGGUGAAAUGCGUAGAGAUCGGAAAGAACAUCGGUGGCGAAGGCGGCCGCCUGGGUCCAGACUGACACUGAGGUGCGAAAGCGUGGGGAGCAAACAGG
rnacentral:rRNA from 1 species